UUUGUUGGAGGUGGGAGAAGGCACAGCUCUCCUUAACAGCCGUAGCGGGUGAGGGCUGGUGGAGGAGAUCUGCUCCAGCUCAAUUCUGCAAAGCUGAGCUUUCCUUCGAUAGGCUUGGAAGUGGCGUGUUGUUUGUGGAAACUUCUGAAUACUGAAAAUGAGGGGCCUUUCGUAGCACCUCAGGACAAUCAUUUCAAGUUAGCAGUCAAGCUGCGUGGAAAAAACAGCUCCUCGGCUGUGCCUGCCAGAUCCUGUUGGCUCUGCUGAAGGCUCCAUUGGGGAAUGGUGAGAAAAUAAAGCGAGAAAACAAAUUUCAGGUCAGCCCCCAGCGUUUUGUUUUCAUUGAAAAUAUGGAAACAAGAUACAAGAUUAAAUCAUUUUUAUAUGUAUUUGUAGGUCCAUUCUCAGCUGAGAUGAGCAACGACCAUUGCAAGAGCAGAAAGCCAUGCUGCAGGAGGAGGAUGUGAAAUCACACUGGAGGACCUUGAGGCACUCACAGUCCCACUGGAGAGGGAAAUACUGAGCCACAAGGAUGGAAUCUCAGUGCCCUGAAGAAACUUGCUGGGGAUUGAAUUGAAGAGAUUAUUCUGAUGGCAAGAUGACCCAGUGAGGGACUUACAUCCAUACCUGCAAGGGAAGGAGGUGACCUCUGCCUGGAGAUGAGCUGCAGAGUGACAGAGUGUUGCAGCCCUGCAUCCAAGAAGGCUUCUUUCUGUGCACCGAUAGCAGCGAAACAAAGCACAAGGAUAAAUGGUUGAAGGGUUUCUUUGGUUAAAAUCUAGCAUUGUGGAAAACUUCUGCAUUGAAAGGAGGCCUUAAUGCCUUCUCUGUCCCCAUGGAAAGUGGGUAAAUUCCCUGGCAGAGAGAAACUGAGCUCCCUAUCUAGUGAUGUGGAUGAAAACCAACGUGGGGAGGCUGACUCCAGCCCUACGGAGUUUCCUUUGGCCUUUUGCUGAGGCUGCUAACAAGGGUAUGAGUUAGUAUAGUGAAUGGAAAGGAGUCCCUCUACGGACCCACACAACUACUGUAUGCCAUCAGCCGUGGCUCAGCAAUAACUCUAUCAAAAAGAAAUAAUUUCCCGAUGGGGAACAGCUCCAUACCUGUUUUCUAGGUCUCAGGAUGGAUGUGCUGCCUCUCACCUGCACCUGAUGGCACCGACACAGCCCAGAAUCACAGUGUUGAGCCUUUGGUUAGAUAGGAAGCUGACAGACCCACAUCCUCAGCAUUGGGCAACUCGGUUUGCUGUGAGAUCAGUCUGUGAAGGAGCACACACAGAGCAGAGCAAGCCCAGGAGUUAAUGUUCCGUGUAGUGCAACACACCUUUAUUCAAACAAGAAUUGAAGGAACAGCGUUAUAAAGCCAUAAACAUCUUCAUUCAAUUAACAUAUUAAAUGAAAGGUUAAUUUAUUUGGGAGUUUUAAGUUUAAUUUUAGUCUAAUUGGGAUGUCGCGGUAUUUAAAAUGGC
rnacentral:lncRNA from 1 species